rnacentral:rRNA from 1 species
AUUGAACGCUGGCGGCAUGCCUUACACAUGCAAGUCGAACGGCAGCACGGGGCAACCUGGUGGCGAGUGGCGAACGGGUGAGUAAUGCAUCGGAACGUACCUUUCAGUGGGGGAUAACGUAUCGAAAGUUACGCUAAUACCGCAUAUUCUGUGAGCAGGAAAGCAGGGGAUCGCAAGACCUUGCGGUGAUUGAGCGGCCGAUGUCAGAUUAGCUAGUUGGGGAGGUAAAGGCUCACCAAGGCGAGGAUCUUUAGCGGGUCUGAGAGGAUGAUCCGCCACACUGGAACUGAGACACGGUCCAGACUCCUACGGGAGGCAGCAGUGGGGAAUUUUGGACAAUGGGGGCAACCCUGAUCCAGCCAUGCCGCGUGAGUGAAGAAGGCCUUCGGGUUGUAAAGCUCUUUCGGCCGGGAAGAAAUCGCACGGGCUAAUACCCUGUGUGGAUGACGGUACCGGAAUAAGAAGCACCGGCUAACUACGUGCCAGCCGCCGCCGUAAGAC